AUACGGAGGGGGCUAGCGUUGUGCGGAAUUACUGGGCGUAAAGCGUACGUAGGCGGACUGAUCAGUUGGGGGUGAAAUCCCAGGGCUUAACCCUGGAACUGCCUUCAAUACUGUCAGUCUUGAGAUUGGAAGAGGUGAGUGGAAUUCCUAGUGUAGAGGUGAAAUUCAUAGAUAUUAGGAGGAACACCAGUGGCGAAGGCGGCUCACUGGUCCAAUACUGACGCUGAGGUACGAAAGCGUGGGGAGCAAACAGGAUUAGAAACCCUAGUAGUCC
rnacentral:rRNA from 1 species